AAAAAAAAAAAAUACAAAUCUACAAAAUUUUAAACUUUUUUACUCUUAGGUUAAGAAUAAAGUGAUAAUUAAAUACACUCCUUACACAUCAUUUCCGUUGAAUAAGAUGCUUCUUCAAUCAUUGGAUGAUGGAUACAAGGUCUUCAAUUAUUGGGCAAUGCUUGUAUGGUUCUUCAAUCAUUGGACGAUGGAUACAAGGUCUUCAAUUAUUGGGCAAUGCUCGCAUGGUUCAUCAAUCAUUGGACGAUGAAUACAAGGUCUUCAAUUAUUGGGCAAUGCUCGCAUGGUUCGUCAAUUAUUGGACAAUGGUUACGUUUUUAUUCCAUUAUCUUCAAUCAAUAACACUAAACUGAUCUGAGCUGCUUCGGUUGUAACUGAUUUUGAUUAUAUUUAUUUUGAUACUAGUCGCAA